CUGUGGCUAAACUCAUUAAAUGAAAUAAAUUAUUAAAUUAGUGAAUAAAUUCCCUCGCGUGGGGGUAACGGGCAACCAGAUGGCGAUUUCUUAUAUAUAUACGUCACAUUUUGUAGAUAUGACAGUUUAUAGUUACGAAAAUGAAAAAGACAAAUGAACUGUUUUCUAAAACAAUAAAAUGUACCAAUGCAUAGAGAGGGUAUCCAGUUUUCAUAAAGAUCUUUCAACUAAAAACAGAAGGAUUUCAAGGAUAGGUGGCUACAUCAAAGUACACGGAGCGCAGGGUUCCACUAAACAUCAUCAGAUCAUCACCGUUCCAUUCUUUCAGAUAAGGCACAGAAUGAAAAAUUCUUUUAAAGAAGACAGAAUAUGAAUUAUGAUCUUCAGUAUUUUCAUGAAAAAAGAUCGUUACGUGGCACUGACUGUGUGUCGACAUCAACAAGAAUUCUUAAUGACUCGAGAUAUUUCUCUUCUUCAUCGAGGAUCAUUUUCAGCAGAGCAAGACGAUCAUCCUCUUAAAAUAAAAGCACGGAAGUGAUCCCCCAAUUACAAACAUACAAAUGUCAACUUUCUCAAUUAUUACGAUUAAACGAGUGGUCAUCAUUCCCAUUACAUUAAAAAUAGAACUUCAUAUUUUCAAAUUAUCCUAAAUUUAGGUUACUCCAACCAACAUCAUGAAGUUUCGCAAGCAAACAAACUCACCAUAUUUCAUAUUCUUGGACCCUUGAAAGUCUCUUCAAUGAUAAUCUCUUGAUUGUCAAGAAGCGUUGCAUCAGCGUCCAUGCUCAAGAUAGAAUUGUUUGAACACAACUUGACUUGAGGGCGUUCUAACUUGUACUCCUCGCAGACUUCGCGUAUAACAUCUUUGAUGGUCAAAAAUCUAUUCACUUCCAACUUGAAAUAUAAAAAUAAAUUCUGUUUGAACGAACGAAUGCACAAGUAUGGGAUAGGUUUGUCAAAACAAGACCCGGCCCAACUACAAUAUCCGGUAAUUUUAAAUCCCCCUUACCCUUAGACUUAAGCCGGGUUUUCACGCAAAUUCAAACAACUAUUCAAAUAACUAGUUUCUUUACAACGAAAGAACGUCAAACUAUAUGUGAAAUAAAUAUUCAUCAUGUUAAGUUUCUCAAGGUUGACGAUUUAAUAACUUCGGCUGAAUCAGGUUAUAUAAACAUACGUAAUAUAUCAUGUAAUAUGUUUCUUGUCUUUCGCGAUGUUCUCCAAUUUUUUCGAGUGAUUAGUUUCAAUUUUUCAACGACAACAUAGGGAAUAAUAUAUUUUUUACUUCAUACAAAA